GACGAACGCUGGCGGCGUGCCUAAUACAUACAAGUCGAACGCAUUUUCUUUCACCGUAGCUUGCUACACCGAAAGAAAAUGAGUGGCGAACGGGUGAGUAACACGUGGGUAACCUGCCCAUCAGCGGGGGAUAACACUUGGAAACAGGUGCUAAUACCGCAUAAUUCCAUUUACUGCAUGGUAGAUGGAUGAAAGGCGCUUUUGCGUCACUGAUGGAUGGACCCGCGGUGCAUUAGCUAGUUGGUGGGGUAACGGCCUACCAAGGCUGCGAUGCAUAGCCGGCCUGAGAGGGUGAUCGGCCACACUGGGACUGGGACACGGCCCAGACUCCUACGGGAGGCAGCAGUAGGGAAUCUUCGGCAAUGGACGCAAGUCUGACCGAGCAACGCCGCGUGAGUGAAGAAGGGUUUCGGAUCGUAAAACUCUGUUGUUAGAAAAGAACAAGGAUGAGAGUGGAAAGUUCAUCCCUUGACGGUAUCUAACCAGAAAGCCACGGCUAACUACGUG
rnacentral:rRNA from 1 species